CAAGCCGCAUCGGUUGGCCUCACUCGAUCUGGAUACUUAACUAGUUCUUAGAAAUUGGAGGUUAGGGGUUAAGGGAAUGCUGAAACGACGGCCGAACGAUCGAUGUCGAUAAAACAGAUUUCAAAUAAAAUAUAUUACAUGCAUAAGAAUAGGGAUCCAGGGCCUCUAUUCUUGAAAAGAAAGUAAAGAAAUGAAAAACUAAAGAAAUACUACAAUAUACGUUACAUUCGCGUUAUUUAAAAUCCCUUAAAAUUUUUGAUCUUAAAAUGAGAUAGAUAUAUAUUUAAAAAGAGAAAAAAGCGAAGAUGCUGAAUGCAAAAAAUACAUAAAACGCGAUAGACGUAGUACAAUGUCAUUGGUGAAACAGUGAAAAAUUACUAGGAAUAGGCCGUUAUGAAUGAUAUGUGUAAUUGAAUCUGACAUCUCUGUGUCUGUGCCAUCUAUGGUUUAUACGUUUAUAUUAUAAUAUUUUGUGGCUGUGACAAAUUUCUUAACCUUAAUAGUCGUUUAUUAAUAUCUCAGUUCACGAAGCAGAACAGCACUUUUUCUUGUCAAAUCUUAAUUUUUACACUAAAACAUCAUCGAUUGAGUAUAUGUUUAUCAAGAUUUGAAGUGAAUAGUGUAUUCUUAACAUUGAUUACUGAACGCUUGUUCGGCUGAACUUGACCUUACAUACGAGUGUAAGGAACAGAAGGAAGUGUUCACGGGGAAACAAGCACCGUAAUGCCGGUGAAAGGGAUACUCGAUUUGUACUAAAAAAUAGACAAGAAUAACGCUAGUUCCAAUUGUCUUUAAAAGUGCUGUUAAUAGUUGUCUUUUCUGCUAGCGCACAGAGUUUCGUGAGGAAGUAGGUAGGAACCAGGAGAAGAGAAAUUUGUGAUAUCAAUUUGUGAACCUUAAAUAAUGAGAAUUGAAAAGAGAAAAUCUAGAAAUUUGCCAAGAAUGCCUCCAAAGCAUACCUCGAAAGACACAGCGAUCCUGUGGUCUGAUAUAGCCGGUCGCAUUUUAGUAAAUGCAAUCUCCUAUCCUAUUGAAUAUGCUAAGGUUUUGAUCCAGAUCGGAUACGAGCCUAUUCCACCCAAACCAACUGUAACAUUCUUUGGAAAGCCUGCAUUGAAACUACCUAAUGCUUUUACAUAUAUUAAACACAUAAAUAGCUUGGAUGGCUUUACAGGCUGCUAUAGAGGCUUAGUACCCAAGGUAUGUUCUUAUACAGUCAGUACAAUAGCGUGCGAUAAGACUUUAGAAUAUCUACAGUUGAACUCAGUGGAACAGAACGAGGAUGAAGACGAUGGAGAUGAGACAGUGAGACGUAAAAGAUGCAUGAAUGAGAUCAUCAGAGAUGUGAUCAGUAGAACAGUAGCGAUCAUAGUUAGUCAUCCUUUGGAAGUCAUUUCAUUAAGGAUGAUGGCACAAUUUGUGGGUAGAGAGACAAAAUAUAGUAGUCUAUUUGGUUCGUUCCUGGAGAUUUACAAGGAGAAUGGGAUCCUAGGUUAUUACGCAGGAUUGAUACCGCGUAUAAUAGGAAGCGCUGCAGUUAUAGUUUUAACUGGUAUCUCUACAUACGCUAUAAACAAUUACGUCAUACAAGAGCCGGCGAUGAAGCCAUACACUGCAUCAACUAUGAAAUUUGUAGCUACAACCGUUAUGUACCCGUUCUUAGUGGUAUCUCACUGCAUGGCAGUAAAUGACUGCGGGUUGGUAGCUGGUCUUCCACCACACAUGCCGAUCUAUAAGAACUGGCUGCAUUGUUGGACUCAUCUGUCGACUCAUAAUCAGCUGAAGAGAGGCAGCAGUCUGUUAUGGCGUUACUAUUCUGGACCGCAUAAGCUGCUGAAUGGCAAGCUGAUACCAGUUAUGGACAAUAACUUUUACCAGCCUAGUUCGUAAUGAGCGUCUUAAAUGUAUAGAUAACAGCCGUAUAAAAAGGAAAAGGAAAAAGAGAAAAUUUGGUUUCAACGAAUUUAUAUAGAAAGAUCGUACAAGAAUUUGCGUGCAUUCUUGUAAGAUCAAAAUUCAUUAUCAAAUAUACAAAAUAAUAGAAAAAAGAAGACAAAUCCAGUUAGGAUCAAUCGAGAUGUAGUUCAAAGAAAUCAAAACGAAAUAACUGCAAAUAAGACUGCGUGACAAAUAUAGGAGACCUACGGACAUAAUAUGAAUAGACGUAGCAUUAUCUAUCUUCCUCUAGAAUAAUAAUAUAUCAACAAAUAAUAGGACUACGAUAGAAUAGAAAAUAAUUCUUUUUUCAUGCAAAUUGUUUGAUAAGAUAGAGCAAGCUAAGCCAUCAUUAAUAAUAUUGAGAGAAAUUCCACGAAGAUGUAUUUGAUUGUGUGCAGACUAAUGAUAGUAUAUUUUUGCACAAGUGUAUUCGUUGUUCUCAAAUUAAUUUAAAUAUAUGAGUAUAAUUGUAUUCGAAAUACAUUAACAUUGGAAUGAA